rnacentral:rRNA from 1 species
CCUACGGGAGGCAGCAGUGAGGAAUAUUGGUCAAUGGGCGCGAGCCUGAACCAGCCAAGUAGCGUGAAGGAUGACUGCCCUACGGGUUGUAAACUUCUUUUAUAAAGGAAUAAAGUGAGGCACGUGUGCAUUGUUGUAUGUACGUUAUGAAUAAGGAUCGGCUAACUCCGUGCCAGCAGCCGCGGUAAUACGGAGGAUCCGAGCGUUAUCCGGAUUUAUUGGGUUUACAGGGAGCGUAGAGGGGUUGUGAAGUCAGUUGUGAAAGUUUGCGGCUCAACCGUAAAAUUGCAAUUGAUACUGGCAGCCUUGAGUACAGUUGAGGUCGGCGGAAUUCGUGGUGUAGCGGUG